UAAGAAAAAAGAAAACAUACACACAUAAUAUCGUCCGCCGUAUAUCGAACGCCUGGCAUCGUUUACAGUUUUCCCCAGCACAUUCAACUAGAAAGUAAUCGCUACUUGUCCGAGCACGACGCGCGUCCAGUUCAAAAUCUAUCAAAAAUGAAUGAAGCAAGCAGUUUAAUGACCAGUUUUUUGGUCUUGGUGGUACUUUUGUUUGCUCUAUAUCUAUUGUAUGCCAGUCUUUUAAAUAAAUUGUAAAUGUACUAAAAUCGAUAGGAUAAAACAACAAAGAGCAUCAAUACCACGAUCAAUGUCUAACAAUUCAGCCUCCGAUUUCCGAUUCCAUUGGCCAACGCAAUCCGGCCGCAAUAAAUACACAACCAUUUAAUUCGGGAAGGGAAAAUCUACAAAAUUCCUAAAAUUAAUUUCACCAUGUUUUUUUAGUUAGUGACACCGUGGAGAAAUAUGCAAAUCCAUAAAUAAAAAAAAAACACAUUUUAAAAUAUUAAUAAAACAA